rnacentral:tRNA from 3 species
GCGGGUGUAGUUAAAAGGCUUAACGCUACCUUCCCAAGGUAGAGAAGGCGGUCCGAUUCCGCUCACCCGCU